AGGACGAACGCUGGCGGCGUGCUUAACACAUGCAAGUCGAGCGGAAAGGCCCUUUCGGGGGUACUCGAGCGGCGAACGGGUGAGUAACACGUGAGUAACCUGCCCUUGGCUUUGGGAUAACCCUCGGAAACGGGGGCUAAUACCGAAUAUUCACUGCUCCUCGCAUGGGGGGUGGUGGAAAGAUUUUUUGGCUGGGGAUGGGCUCGCGGCCUAUCAGCUUGUUGGUGGGGUGAUGGCCUACCAAGGCGACGACGGGUAGCCGGCCUGAGAGGGCGACCGGCCACACUGGGACUGAGACACGGCCCAGACUCCUACGGGAGGCAGCAGUGGGGAAUAUUGCACAAUGGGCGCAAGCCUGAUGCAGCGACGCCGCGUGAGGGAUGACGGCCUUCGGGUUGUAAACCCCUUUCGGCAGGGACGAAGCGAAAGUGACGGUACCUGCAGAAGAAGCGCCGGCUAACUACGUGCCAGCAGCCGC
rnacentral:rRNA from 1 species